GCCCGGGCUCAGCCGCAGCCCAGCUGCCUCUGUCCCCCGCCCAGGCCCGCACACCCACCGGCUGGCGGAAACCAGGGCCGGCGCCCCGAGGCGCCGAGCCGCGCAGACUACAAAUCCCAGCAGAGCCGGGCCGAGCGCCCGGCCGCGCCGAGCGGCGCCGGGAGGCUGUGGCGGCACGCCGGGAAAUGGAGUCCGUACCGCGGCGCCAUCUCAGCCGCGCUCCCCGCUGCGCGGACGCGCGUAGCACCCGCGGGGUGAAGGCUGCCCGCUUGGGGCAGGCGGCCUGAUGGAGCUCAGCUGCCUGAAGAGGUCCCUGCUCACUGCAGGAGGGUCACUACAUCACCCUUAAAGGAAGAGCAGUGGCUAUUUACCUGCACUUCAGCAAAGCCAUUUGCCCCUGUUGUCCACAGCCUCGUUCUGGACAAGCUGGCCAGAUACAGACCGGAGUGGUAGUCCAUGAGGUUUACCAGGAGGAGGUUCUAAAUGCCUCCACACGGUCUGCCUGUAUAGCCAGUGUGACAUUGUGCUAAGACUGCACAUCACAGGACAUCCUGUCUACACCUGAAAGUCUCCUGCCAAGAGAAGAAGUCCUGGAGAUACACAGAUCAUCCAGAGGACCAAGUCAGAGAUUGGCUGCAUCCUUUCCCCAGCACUGUGAAACCUGGGAAGAAUCAGAAGCCUCUGCAGCUGACAAGACAGUAACAGAAUUCCCUGAAAGCAUUUGGGUACUGUCUAAAGCUGUAGCCAGCCCCAUGAGUUGUGAGAUAAUUUUGUGAGUAAAUACUUAAAGUCUCUUGUAAUUCACCAUUGCCUUCUGCCAUAAGCAGGAAUUUGCUCCUUGAGUCCAUCUAGUGGGCAAGCAGUGUAUUGACCACAGGAGCCUUCUUUCCACUUCAGUGAAGGUUUAUAUUUCUUGCUAGUUAUUUCUAGAUCUGGUUAUUGCUCUGUAUGUUUCCAUGACCGUGUGAAGAACUCAUUAUUAUUCAAAUUAGUAGUGGGGGUGGCAAGAGUUCUGAAGAUCAAAACUAAUAAACAAUAUUAAUUCUGGAAAAAUCUAA